GUCGUUUAGUCGUGUCCGACUCUUCGUGACCCCAUGGACCAGAGCACGCCAGGCACUCCUGUCUUCCACUGCCUCCCACAGUUUGGUCAAACUCAUGCUGGUAGCUUCAAGAACACUGUCCAGCCAUCUCGUCCUCUGUCGUCCCCUUCUCCUUGUGCCCUCCAUCUUUCCCAACAUCAGGGUCUUUUCCAGGGAGUCUUCUCUUCUCAUGAGGUGGCCAAAGUAUUGGAGUCUCAGCUUCAC